rnacentral:rRNA from 1 species
AACGAACGCUGGCGGCAUGCCUAGCACAUGCAAGUCGAACGAGACCUUCGGGUCUAGUGGCGCACGGGUGCGUAACGCGUGGGAACCUGCCCUUAGGUUCGGAAUAACUCCCCGAAAGGGGUGCUAAUACCGGAUAAUGUCUUCGGACCAAAGAUUUAUCGCCUUUGGAUGGGCCCGCGUUGGAUUAGCUAGUUGGUAGGGUAAAAGCCUACCAAGGCGACGAUCCAUAGCUGGUCUGAGAGGAUGAUCAGCCACACUGGGACUGAGACACGGCCCAGACUCCUACGGGAGGCAGCAGUGGGGAAUAUUGGACAAUGGGCGAAAGCCUGAUCCAGCAAUGCCGCGUGAGUGAUGAAGGCCUUAGGGUUGUAAAGCUCUUUUACCCGGGAUGAUAAUGACAGUACCGGGAGAAUAAGCUCCGGCUAACUCCGU